UACGUAGGGCGCAAGCGUUGUCCGGAAUUAUUGGGCGUAAAGAGCGUGUAGGCGGCCAGGUAGGUCAGCUGUGAAAACUCGAGGCUCAACCUCGAGACGUCGGUUGAAACCACCUGGCUAGAGUCCGGAAGAGGAGAGUGGAAUUCCUGGUGUAGCGGUGGAAUGCGCAGAUAUCAGGAAGAACACCCGUGGCGAAGGCGGCUCUCUGGGACGGUACUGACGCUGAGACGCGAAAGCGUGGGGAGCAAACAGG
rnacentral:rRNA from 1 species